UCCUCCCACUUUGCCUCCCAUCUUGCGCCACUGCUUCUGCUGCUUCGUUCCGGACUCCCCGCCUCGGCACGUUCCUGCACUCUGGAAUCGGUGGAAAAGGGUGGAUUGUUGUGGCUCUAGGGUGGCGGUUCUAGUCGGAGCUCGUGCACCCAGUUCGCAGCGCGGCUAGAUGCGGGAGCUCUGUGGAGCCAGAAUGUCGUCUUGCCGGCUUGUCCGUUUUAGGGCAGGGAUGUCGAGACUGUUGGGUGCGAGGGGGAGAUUGUGUUCCUGUGUGGCGCUCGCAAUCCACGGGGCGAUGCGGUGGAAGAGAAGUCUCAGGAGAUUCCAGAGGAGGUAGCAGAGGAGAAGGUGGAAGAAACUGCCGAGGAGGAAGCAGCGGAAGAAGAAGAGGAAGAGGCCCCAGUGGAGGAAGAGGAAGAGGAAGAAGUGGUGGACCCAAAGGCGGAAAUAGAGGAGUCGUGCAAACCGAAGUGUGUGAAGCAGCUUUUGGCGUUGCAGGCGUGUGAGAAGCGCGUGGAGGAGGAUGAAGAGGGUCAGAAGCAUUGCACAGGGCAAUAUUUCGAUUACUGGGGUUGCAUCGACAAAUGCACGGCACCGAAGCUGUUCCGAAAGCUGAAGUAGGGGGUUGAUGUAGCUGCGGGAGUGGAGACAGGAGGCUUCUGGCUAACGUCGAGGGGUCAGAAAGUAGAGGCAAUGUCCAAAUUUGGGAGCAUUUAGUAGAAAUGCCGAAUAAAGUAGUGUAGUUUUUUGAAUGGCAUUGCAUCAGUUUUGUUGAUCUGGCUUUUGUGUA